GCCAGCGCUGGGAAGGGCUGCGGAUGCCCGGGUCAGAGGAAGGGGCAGGUCCAAGGACACGCGGGUCUGGUCCUGGGCAAGAACCGCCCCCUCUCCGGGCCUGCUUCAGUCUUCCUUUGCAGAACAACGGGCCAGGCCCCUUCCCUCUGCCCCCGGGUGCUUGAAGUCUAGCCCCAUCCUGGUCCAAUGCGCUCUUGGUAGCCUCCUUUCCCAGCUGCCCGCCCGCCGCCAUGCCGCCCUUACUGCCCCUGCGCCUGUGCCGGCUGUGGCCCCGCAACCCUCCCUCCCGGCUCCUCGGAGCGGCCGCCGGGCAGCGGUCCAGACCCAGUACUUAUUAUGAACUGUUGGGGGUGCAUCCUGGUGCCAGCACUGAGGAAGUUAAACGAGCUUUCUUCUCCAAGUCCAAAGAGCUGCACCCAGACCGGGACCCUGGGAACCCAAGCCUGCACAGCCGCUUUGUGGAGCUGAGCGAGGCAUACCGUGUGCUCAGCCGUGAGCAGAGCCGCCGCAGCUAUGAUGACCAGCUCCGCUCAGGUAGUCCCCCAAAGUCUCCACGAACCACAGUCCAUGACAAGUCUGCCCACCAAACACACAGCUCCUGGACACCCCCCAACGCACAGUACUGGUCCCAGUUUCACAGCGUGAGGCCACAGGGGCCCCAGUUGAGGCAGCAGCAACACAAACAAAACAAACAAGUGCUGGGGUACUGCCUCCUCCUCAUGCUGGCGGGCAUGGGCCUGCACUACAUUGCCUUCAGGUUCAAGCAAUUCUUCUGUCUCAGCCUCCCGAGUAGCUGGGACUACAGGCGUCCACCACCACACCCGGCUAGUUGUUUUGUAUUUUUAGUAGAGAUGGGGUUUCACCAUAUUGGCCAGGCUGGUCUCAAACUCCUGACCUCAGGUGAUCCACCCGCCUCAGCCUCCCAAAGUACUGGGAUUACAGGAAGGUGAAGCAGAUGCACCUUAACUUCAUGGAUGAAAAGGAUCGGAUCAUCACAGCCUUCUACAACGAAGCCCGGGCACGGGCCAGGGCCAACAGAGGCAUCCUUCAGCAGGAGCGACAACGGCUAGGGCAGCGGCAGCCGCCACCAUCCGAGCCAACCCAAGGCCCCGAGAUCGUGCCCCGGGGCGCCGGCCCCUGAGGGGCUCACCUGGAUGGGGCCUGCAGUGCGUUCCCGCUUUGCUUCCUUCCCUGGACGGCCCGCUCCCCGAAACGCGCGCAAUAAAGUGAUUCGCAG
rnacentral:lncRNA from 1 species